rnacentral:rRNA from 1 species
GCCGCGGUAAUACCGGCGCCCCAAGUGGUAGUCGCUUUUAUUGGGCCUAAAACGUCCGUAGCCGGUCUGGUACAUUCGUGGGUAAAUCAACCAGCUCAACUGGUUGAAUUCUGCGAGCACGGCCAGACUUGGGACCGGGAGAGGUGUGGGGUACUCUCAGGGUAGGGGUAAAAUCCUGUCAUCCUGAGAGGACCACCUGUUGCGAAGGCGCCACACUAGAACGGAUCCGACGGUCAGGGACGAAGCCUAGGGGCACGAACCGGAUUAGAUACCCGGGUAGUCCUAGGUGUAAACGCUGUGGACUUGAUGUUGGGGGCGCUCCGAGCGCACUCAGUGUCGAAGCGAAGGUGAUAAGUCCACUGCCUGGGGAGUACGGUCGCAAGGCUGAAACUUAAAGGAAUUGGCGGGGGAGCACGGUCAUAGU